UCUGGAGCUUAUGUCUCCUCCGGAGUUACGGAAAAAGACCGAGAGGCGUCGUUAGCGAUGACGGCGGACUCCGACAGCGAUUGACUGACUAUCGGGUCAUCAGCUGAAGAAAACGACGAGAGAUUCAAAAAAACAGGAUGAACGCCAAGCUUCUUGUCUGCUGCAAUUAUAUAACGCAUUAUCCUUUGGCACGGACAAAGGUUGAAGUGCAGUCCCUUAGCUCAGUUGGUUAGAGCGCUACACUGAUAAUGUAGAGGUCGGCAGUUCAACUCUGCCAGGGACUACAGAAAACGAGAGUACAUUGACAUACUGGAAGAAAGGAAACGUCAGCCGCAAGACGCAAGUCUGAGGAAGACGUGACCGAGAAAAUAAACGAGUAAAUCAGAAACGAGCGAUCGGGCGACCUAAAGAGAAGGUAAGUUCGAACGACGAAGCGACGGACGGCGGAAUAGAAAUAUUCCGCAGGUCAAGCGACAGAACAAGGAAAGGAGAAAAGGGCACAUGAAGGAUGCCUAGGCUCUUGGAGACGACGAAGGACGUGACAAGCUGCGAAAAGCCGCGGAGAGGGGCAAAUACCCAUUGACCCGCGGAUGUC
rnacentral:sRNA from 1 species